UCGAGGGAAACGUGUGUUUAUCUGCCGGCAGGUUCAAAGUUCGACAAGCAUUUAUUACUGAAAAACCAUCACUACCAUUUUCCGAGGAGUCAACAGAUUACGAAGGAACUUUCGAACAAAGGUGACGAGAAGACACGUGCGAAGAAGGAAAACAACGUGGAGUCCAUUCGAAUUGAAUUGAAUUCCGCGCCAACCGUCGUCUCCCGGGUAAUCGAGCGUCACGUGACCCGAAAUUAACCGAAGCGAACACGAAGACACCGAGGUUAUAAAUAGCGGCCACCAGGGAGCGGGCAGUCUCUUUUACUUUCCAUAGUGGAUCACAGUGCAUUUGCUCCGCGCUUGGCCGACUAUUAAGUUCCGUGGUGUGAUUGUGUUAGGGUUCGCUCGUGCGAGGCUAAAGUAGGGUGUAGAGGUCGGAGCGAAUUUCCUCUUCUUCAAAAACUGUUAACGACACCGAGGGUGAGGUAGCCGUGAACGGUACCGCAACACGUGGCCAAAGAGUUCGAAUCGCGGACGAAAUUGACGAGAAUCCCUCAACGACGAGCGCGAAAAGAAGGAAAAUGCCGGAGACUGCUCACCACAUGAACGGAUACGCGAACGGGCACACGCCGCCCGAGCUGCAACAGGAUACCAGUUUUCUCUUCACUUCGGAGUCCGUUGGCGAAGGACAUCCAGAUAAAAUGUGUGAUCAAAUAAGUGACGCAAUUUUGGACGCACACUUGCAGCAGGACCCUGAUGCAAAAGUGGCUUGUGAGACAGUGACAAAGACAGGGAUGGUAUUAUUGUGUGGUGAAAUCACAUCGAAAGCUGUGGUAGACUAUCAGAAAAUUGUUCGAGACACAGUUAAACACAUUGGAUAUGACGAUUCGUCGAAAGGAUUCGAUUGGCGUACGUUGAACCUUUUGGUGGCGAUCGAACAACAAUCUCCAAAUAUCGCUGAUGGUGUUCAUGUGGACAGGGAAGAGAAGGACGUGGGUGCAGGUGAUCAGGGUCUGAUGUUUGGAUAUGCAACAGAUGAAACCGAUGAAUGUAUGCCAUUAACUGUUGUGUUGGCACACAAGUUAAAUCAAAAAAUUGCCAAGCUAAGGCGAAGUGGUGAAUUAUGGUGGGCGAGACCGGAUUCAAAAACACAAGUCACUUGCGAAUACGUAAUGGAUCAUGGUGCCUGUGUACCUAUCAGAGUUCAUACAGUAGUCGUAUCGUUACAACACAGUGAAAAAAUUGGUUUAGAAGAAUUACGGAAGGCAGUUAUGGAGAAGGUUAUCAAAGAAGUAAUUCCAGCAAGGUACCUUGAUGACCGAACAAUCUUCCAUGUUAAUCCAUGUGGAUUAUUUAUUAUCGGUGGACCACAGAGUGAUGCUGGUCUUACUGGUCGUAAAAUAAUAGUCGACACUUACGGCGGUUGGGGAGCUCACGGUGGUGGUGCGUUUUCUGGUAAAGAUUUCACAAAGGUUGAUAGAUCUGCCGCUUAUGCAGCAAGAUGGGUUGCCAAAUCUUUAGUGAAAGCUGGUCUAUGCAGACGCUGCCUCGUACAGGUCUCUUACGCCAUCGGUGUAGCGGAACCUCUCUCAAUCACAGUAUUUGACUAUGGUACAUCCAAAUUAUCUCAAAACGAACUCUUAAAUAUAGUUAAUAAAAAUUUCGACUUACGACCCGGAAAAAUUGUGAAAGAAUUGAAUCUUCGUAAUCCUAUUUAUCAACAAACCAGUACGUAUGGUCACUUUGGUCGGGAAGGAUUUACUUGGGAACAGCCAAAAACUUUAAUUCUCGAUUGAUGAGAGUGUAAAGUUUAAAUAGGUUUGACGUUUUUUUAUCUCGAAAACGUCGAUCAACUCGCUCUCAAAUAAUCUUAUAUCUCGUAAACGUUUGUCCGAGAUUUUCCAACUUCCGCGCUACAUUCGCCAAGUCUAUCGAUUCCUUUUGCCAACUUAGUACAUACUAGCAGGAAUAACAACACUAGAUUUUUUCCACAACAUGAGAUAUUUGGUAUUACGUGGUAUAUAGUACAAAUUUUGUUGUCCCAGUUGCGCUGACGAAGACACAGUCAUUUAUUUCCUUCAUAAUUUGGAAAAUGAAUAAAUAGCUCUAUCGAUCAUUAGGUGUAAAUGAAAACUCGACAAAGGGAAAGCACGACUCAUUACUAUGGCUUGUAAGUGAUGUGUGUUGGAAGUAGAAAUGAUAAAAGGAACAACAAUAUCAUGGACGAGACAAUGUUCCGUUAUUGAAAAAAAAAAAA
rnacentral:misc_RNA from 1 species